rnacentral:rRNA from 1 species
AGUGCAUAUGGUGGAUGCCUUGGCGAUUACAGGCGAUGAAGGACGUGAUAGCCUGCGUAAAGUUUCGGGGAGCUGGCAAAUAAGCUUUGAUCCGGAAAUGUCCGAAUGGGGAAACCCACCCGCAAGGGUAACCGCUCCUGAAUAUAUAGGGAGAUGGUGGCGAACCGAGUGAACUGAAACAUCUAAGUAGCUCGAGGAAAAGAAAUCAACCGAGAUUCCGUAAGUAGUGGCGAGCGAACAUGGAACAGCCUGUUAUUUUUAGCACAUGCGAUAGUAGAACGGAAUGGAAAGUCCGGCCAUAGAGGGUGAUAGCCCCUUAUACGAAAUCCCGUGUGUGGAACUAGGGUAACGACAAGUAGGGCGGGGCACGAGAAACCUUGUCUGAACAUGGGGGGACCAUCCUCCAAGGCUAAAUACUCGUAAUCGACCGAUAGUGAACCAGUACCGUGAGGGAAAGGCGAAAAGAACCCCGGGAGGGGAGUGAAAUAGAUCCUGAAACCGUAUGCAUACAAACAGUGGGAGCGGACUUGUUCCGUGACUGCGUACCUUUUGUAUAAUGGGUCAGCGACUUACAUUCAGUAGCAAGCUUAACCGAUAGGGGAGGCGUAGCGAAAGCGAGUCCGAAUAGGGCGUCUAGUUGCUGGGUGUAGACCCGAAACCAAGUGAUCUAUCCAUGGCCAGGAUGAAGGUGCCGUAACAGGUACUGGAGGUCCGAACCCACAAAUGUUGAAAAAUUUGGGGAUGAGCUGUGGAUAGGGGUGAAAGGCUAAACAAACUUGGAAAUAGCUGGUUCUCUCCGAAAACUAUUUAGGUAGUGCCUCGUAUAUCAUUCUCGGGGGUAGAGCACUGUUAUGACUAGGGGGUUCAUAAGAACUUACCAACUCAUUGCAAACUCCGAAUACUGAGAAAUGCAAUUACGGGAGACAGACCAUGGGUGCUAACGUCCGUGGUCAAGAGGGAAACAACCCAGACCGACAGCUAAGGUCCCAAAUGACGUGCUAAGUGGAAAACGAAGUGGGAAGGCAUAGACAGCCAGGAUGUUGGCUUAGAAGCAGCCAUCAUUUAAAGAAAGCGUAAUAGCUCACUGGUCGAGUCGUCCUGCGCGGAAGAUGUAACGGGGCUAAGCACGUAACCGAAGCUUCGGAUACUAGUUUACUAGUAUGGUAGGAGAGCGUUCUGUAGGCCUGCGAAGGUAUUCUGUGAGGGAUGCUGGAGGUAUCAGAAGUGCGAAUGCUGACAUGAGUAGCGAUAAAGGGAGUGAAAAGCUCCCUCGCCGAAAACCCAAGGUUUCCUGCGCAACGUUCAUCGGCGCAGGGUGAGUCGGCCCCUAAGGUGAGGCAGAGAUGCGUAGCUGAUGGGAAACAGGUUAAUAUUCCUGUACCUCUAUACAAUGCGAUGUGGGGACGGAGAAGGUUAGGUCAGCCGGGUGUUGGAUGUCCCGGUUCAAGUGUGUAGGCAGAUUCUUUAGGCAAAUCCGGAGAGUCAAUGCUGAGGCAUGAUAACGAGUCUACUUGUAGACGAAGUGAUUGAUACCAAGCUUCCAAGAAAAGCCACUAAGCUUCAGUUGUAUAAGACCGUACCGCAAACCGACACAGGUGGGUAGGAUGAGAAUUCUAAGGCGCUUGAGAGAACCCGGGAGAAGGAACUCGGCAAAUUAGCACCGUAACUUCGGGAGAAGGUGCGCCCUUUGUAAGUGUAGCGACUUGCUCGUGAAGCUGAAAAGGGUUGCAGUGAAAAGGUGGCUGCGACUGUUUAAUAAAAACACAGCACUCUGCAAACACGAAAGUGGACGUAUAGGGUGUGACGCCUGCCCGGUGCUGGAAGAUUAAAUGAUGGGGUGCAAGCUCUUGAUUGAAGUCCCAGUAAACGGCGGCCGUAACUAUAACGGUCCUAAGGUAGCGAAAUUCCUUGUCGGGUAAGUUCCGACCCGCACGAAUGGCGUAACGAUGGCCACACUGUCUCCUCUCGGGACUCAGCGAAGUUGAAAUGUUUGUGAAGAUGCAAUCUACCCGCGGCUAGACGGAAAGACCCCAUGAACCUUUACUGUAGCUUUACAUUGGACUUUGACAAGAUUUGUGUAGGAUAGGUGGGAGACGUUGAAGCGGAGUCGCUAGAUUCCGUGGAGUCAACCUUGAAAUACCACCCUGAUGUUGUUGAGGUUCUAACCUAGGUCCAUAAUCUGGACUGGGGACCGUGUAUGGUGGGCAGUUUGACUGGGGCGGUCUCCUCCCAAAGAGUAACGGAGGAGUGCGAAGGUAACCUAGGUACGGUCGGAAAUCGUACUGAUAGUGCAAUGGCAUAAGGUUGCUUGACUGCGAGACGGACAGGUCGAGCAGGUGCGAAAGCAGGUCAUAGUGAUCCGGUGGUUCUNNNNNNNNNNNNNNNNNNNNNNNNGGGGAUAACAGGCUGAUUCCUCCCAAGAGUUCAUAUCGACGGGGGAGUUUGGCACCUCGAUGUCGGCUCAUCACAUCCUGGGGCUGUAGCCGGUCCCAAGGGUAUGGCUGUUCGCCAUUUAAAGUGGUACGUGAGCUGGGUUUAAAACGUCGUGAGACAGUUUGGUCCCUAUCUGCCGUGGGCGCUGGAAAUUUGAAGGGACCUGCUCCUAGUACGAGAGGACCGGAGUGGACGCACCGCUGGUGGACCAGUUAUCAUGCCAAUGGUAUAGCUGGGUAGCUAAGUGCGGAAGAGAUAAACGCUGAAAGCAUCUAAGCGUGAAACUCGCCUUGAGAUGAGAUUUCCCGGGGGUUUAACCCCCCUAAAGAGUCGUUCGAGACCAGGACGUUGAUAGGACGGAUGUGGAAGUGCAGUAAUGCAUUAAGCUGACCGUUACUAAUUGCUCGUGAGGCUUGAUC